GGUAAAAAAUAAAUAAUAAAACAACUUUUAAACGGUUUAACUCGCCUAUAUUAAUCAUUUAUACAUUCCUGACGUUUCGACUUUUCAGCGUUCGUGGUAGGCGAGUUAAACCGUUUAAAAGUUGUUUUAUUAUGUCUAGUGCUCGCGCAAACCUCAGAAACACUUGUAGGUAAAUCAUGAUUAAAAAUGUUUUAAAUAAAUUGUACUCACCAAUUUUGUAUAGCAGUUCACUGAAAGUAGACUAAGUUAUAGUUGUACUAGGUGCAAGAAGAAGUGGUGAAGUCAUACCUCCUAAUGACAACCAAAUUAUAAAUCCAGAUUAUUGGGAUGCAUUAAUAACUCAGGGUGAUAUUAGCAGUGAAAAUAUUAAUAAAGGACAAUCAUACAGGACAAAUCAAAAUUAUAGAAGACGUAAUGAACUUAUCACAAACUACUUUGGACGACUAACAAGAUAAAUAUUUGGCGCAGCACCAUUGGACAUUACUCAGUCAGUAGCUGUUGAAAUUCCAAGAAUAAUUUAAUUGAAAUCUUAUUAUAGAUUGUCAGUCUGCAUAAUACAAUGCAAGUAAUAUUAUGUUAAAAUCAACCAUAUGUUUUUACAUAAACAUCCAGUGCACUAUUUUUAUAAAUUUACAUUUUGAAAAGAGCACCUAGCUUCACUGAUGCUCAAUUUCAAUUUAGACAUUGCAAAAGUGCUUGUUUAUGGACUAUUGAAAUAGAUAAAUGAUUUGAUUUUGAAACUUGAAAAAGAUAGUCAUCAGUAACAAUAAAUUAGGUGUUGUUAAUUUUAAAGUUGCUUUGAAUUAAAUUAAAUUGCUCUGGAAUAAUAAGAAAAAAGGUAUUCUGUAAUGAAUUUGUGAAUUUUGUUUGAAAGGAAAUAAAAACUACUUAUAAAUAA